rnacentral:misc_RNA from 1 species
UACGAGUGCCCCAAGCGUUGUCCGGAAUUAUUGGGCGUAAAGAGCUCGUAGGCGGUUUGUCGCGUCUGCCGUGAAAGUCCGGGGCUCAACUCCGGAUCUGCGGUGGGUACGGGCAGGCUAGAGUGAUGUAGGGGAGACUGGAAUUCCUGGUGUAGCGGUGAAAUGCGCAGAUAUCAGGAGGAACACCGAUGCCGAAGGCAGGUCUCUGGGCAUUAACUGACGCUGAGGAGCGAAAGCAUGGGAAGCGAACAGG